GACGAACGCUGGCGGCGUGCUUAACACAUGCAAGUCGAACGGAAAGGCCCUGCUUUUGUGGGGUGCUCGAGUGGCGAACGGGUGAGUAACACGUGAGUAACCUGCCCUUGACUUUGGGAUAACUUCAGGAAACUGGGGCUAAUACCGGAUAGGAGCUCCCGCUGCAUGGUGUGGGUUGGAAAGUUUCGGCGGUUGGGGAUGGACUCGCGGCUUAUCAGCUUGUUGGUGGGGUAGUGGCUUACCAAGGCUUUGACGGGUAGCCGGCCUGAGAGGGUGACCGGCCACAUUGGGACUGAGAUACGACCCAGACUCCUACGGGAGGCAGCAGUGGGAGAUAUUGCACGAUGGGCGGAAGCCUGAUGCAGCAACGCCGCGUGCUGGAUGACGGCCUUCGGAUUGUAAACCGCUUUCGCCUGUGACGAAGCGUGAGUGACGGUAAUGGGUAAAGAAGCACCGGCUAACUACGUG
rnacentral:rRNA from 1 species